rnacentral:rRNA from 1 species
GAUGAACGCUGGCGGCGUGCCUAAUACAUGCAAGUCGAACGCUGAAGGAAGGAGCUUGCUCUUUCCGGAUGAGUUGCGAACGGGUGAGUAACGCGUAGGUAACCUGCCUGGUAGCGGGGGAUAACUAUUGGAAACGAUAGCUAAUACCGCAUAACAGUAGAUGUUGCAUGAUACAUACGUAAAAGGUGCAAUUGCCCCACUACCAGAUGGACCUGCGUUGUAUUAGCUAGUUGGUGAGGUAACGGCCCACCAAAGCGACCAUACAUAGCCGGACGGAGGGGGUGAUCGGCCACCCUGGGACUGGGAAACCGACCCGACUUCUUCGGGGGGCAGCAGUAGGGGAUCUUUGGACAUGGACGGAAGGCUGACCGAGGAACGCCGGGGGGGUGGAGAAGGGUUUCGGAGCGUUAAGGUCUGUUGUAAGGGAAAGACGAGUGUGAGAGUGGAAAGUCCACACUGUGACGGUACCUAAACAGAAAGGGACGGCUAACUACGUG